GUUCUGCACAAUUCUUCCAAUAUUCUCAGGCUUUAUCAGUUCAAUUUGAUUUUUGUGAUGCUUUUCCCCCUUAUAUUCUUCUUGCAAUGAUUGUAGGAAGAUAUAACAGAUUGAGAUGCUAGGUAGAUGGAUCCCAAUUGUACUUUGCCAUUCUUGUCUUCAUUUCAUUUGAUUCUAGAUUUUUUAAAGGCCUCCUUGGACAUGAUAAAAUGGGUUAUUGUAGAAAGCUAUAAUUGACAGGCAUUUUGCCAGUGUUUGGCUGCCUAACGAGCAACCCUUGUGUAUUCCCCUACACUAUUUUGAGUAUAUAUGUGAUUGCUUGUAAGAUCUUCUACCCCAAGUUAUACCUAAAUAAAUGGUUAUCUUCCCAUUGAGGGUAAUGAUCACGUACGUUCGACAACAUGUGUGUUCCUAUACGGUCGGGCGAUGUGGGGUUGCCUUGAUGUGUUUGUGGGAUGGUUUUAAGACUUGGACGAAUCUUGUGCAACUCCUUCAAGUUGACUUGAGCUUGGUCGGACCCCAUCAGGUUUGACACAAGUCACCUCUGACUCAGCCGAAUCGCUAUGCGCUUGAGACCAAACAAGUCAGUCUGAGUUGCUGACUCUUUUAACCAUGAUCUGUGCCAUCGAACAUGCAUGCCUGCGCACACACGCACACACCAGUAAACAUUUGAAAAAGGUGCAAAAGUCAACCUGAUCCAAAACUUAGGUGCACUACACCAUAGGGAACAACAAUGAGCAAGUGGACGGGGAUGCCCACCCUAGAAACUUCCAAAUUGUCUGUGAGGCCUAACAUGCUGUUAUAUGCCAUCCAAUCCUGUCAUCAAAUGCGCGUUACCGGGAUGAACGGGACAUCCCAAAAUCAGGCCAUUCCAUAACCCAGGUGAGCCACAUCACAUGAAGUUAGGGGUUUCAAGUGCUGGGCCCCAGCUGUGCUCCAAACAAUAUCCUACAUAAAUGUCUAAAUGCAAUGGGAGCAUCAGUUAGGAAUUAACAUUAUCUGAAUGAAAUGUCGUAAGGUCUCGUUGAUUUCAAGAUAAGUUGUGGUAGAGCAUGGUAACUUAAGGAGGGCUGAUAAGCCCACACACGUGUAUAGCUUUGCCCAUGUACAUGGAGCACAUGUGCCUAAUCUGGGAGUUCCAUUAGAUGGGCCACAUCAUAUAGAUCUUCUAGCUCAAAUAUCAGGAAAUUCAAAUUAUCAGGUGGACCAUAGAGAAUGAAACAAUUAGACAGCUAGGGAAUAUUGUUUUAACCAUACAUCAUCCAUUCGUUUCAUUCAUUAUGUUCCAUCUGAUAUGUUGAUCUGCCUGACCAUUGGGCCAGAAGAUCUACGCUGUGUGGCCCACCAGAUGUAAGUUUGUAACAUCUGAUCUUUCACUUUUGCCAUAAUGGAAUAUGUGUUGGCAUGCAGUGCAGAAGGGCAAAUGGCUAUUCACACAGGUGAGCUUAGCAAACCUUGUACAUGUAAAUAUUAUCCAAGAGAGGUUUAUCAUUGAGGGUCAUGUGAAAUUUGAGUAUGAUGGUUCUCGGCUUCAUGGCUGGAUGCUGAGGACAGUUGAUGGAUAUGAUACUUUUGAUUUGUCCGCUAAUUAUUCCCUUCUUCUCAUGCUUGAUUCUCUCAGCCCAUGGAAAUAAUUUUAUUGGAUGAUACUUGUAUGCUGAAAUAGGCAACAUAUGGAGAAUUUAAGCACUGCCUUCCCAGAAGAAGAAGAAGAGGAAGACAUGCUUGGUGGUCAUGUUGGUUGAAAUUUUUUCAGCUACUUCGCAUUUGCAAACAUAUUGUCAUUGGAGAACGCGACAUGACAUGGUAAUUGUAUUCAAGUCAUCAAUCGCAUGCCCACGCAAGCAUUCCUGAGUUUCAAAAGAAGUUCAACCAGAAAGCAAACCUUUUAGGAAAUCAAUUUGAGGGGCACACUCUAGUGGUACUGGGAAGAUGUGAGGUCCAGUGAUGCAUCUACAGAAUCCAACCCGUUGAUAAGAUGUGUCACUCCAGAAAACUUCCAGAGCCCAGAAAUCAGACUGAAUCAAAACUCAGAUGGGCUGCAGCACAGGGAACAUAUUGAGAGGGAAUGGCCACUAUUGGUUGGUGUGGGGUACCCACCAUGUUGUAUAUAUAUAAUCAAGGUCGUUCAGACCCUUCAUCCAGUCCUGGCGAAGGGUCAUGACAAGAUUCAGGCUGUUUUGCAAAUCAGGUGGGCCCUUGUAGAAUUCAAGGGUGAGCAUUCCCUGACAGCUUGUUCCAUUUGCUGUGGCCCACAUUAGUUUUGGGUUGGGGUGAGUUUUAGGUACCAGUGAUUUCCGGAGGUGAUGCAUCUGAGAGAUAGGUUGAAUGGUGAAAAUACAUCAUUUGGGCCAGGUACUGGUACUUCUGGAGCAUGCCAAUUUUUAAAGGCAGGUGGACUUGCAAACUUCAGCGUCGACUGUAAUUCUUUUAUGGCACCAUAUGCCUCUAUUGUGGAUGUUUUAUUUAAUGAUUUCCAUUUGAUAAACAAA